rnacentral:rRNA from 1 species
AUGUCUAUUUUUGCUCUACCACUGAACUUUUCAAGGGUAAAGAAAAGAAUAGCUACUACCACAGGUCCUACUUGGAGUUGUCCUCCUAAAGGGGUUUAUGCAGUCAAUGUAGAUGCAGCUUUUAACUGUGAUACUAAACAAGGCUCUUCUGGCAUUGUUAUUAGAGAUACAACUAGUGGUUUUGUUGCUGCGAGAAGUUUUAAAAUUGAUUAUGCAGAUGAUGUUUUAAUGGCUGAAACAAUGGCAACUAGAGAUGGUAUAUGGUUUGCCGAACAUAUAGGCCUGAAUAGGGUUGUUCUUCAGUCAGAUAACGAGGUGGUAAUCCAACUAUGA